GAUGAACGCUGGCGGCGUGCCUAAUACAUGCAAGUCGAGCGAACAGACGAGGAGCUUGCUCCUCUGACGUUAGCGGCGGACGGGUGAGUAACACGUGGAUAACCUACCUAUAAGACUGGGAUAACUUCGGGAAACCGGAGCUAAUACCGGAUAAUAUAUUGAACCGCAUGGUUCAAUAGUGAAAGACGGUUUUGCUGUCACUUAUAGAUUGAUCCGCGCCGCAUUAGCUAGUUGGUAAGGUAACGGCUUACCAAGGCAACGAUGCGUAUCCGACCUGAGAGGGUGAUCGGCCACACUGGAACUGAGACACGGUCCAGACUCCUACGGGAGGCAGCAGUAGGGAAUCUUCCGCAAUGGGCGAAAGCCUGACGGAGCAACGCCGCGUGAGUGAUGAAGGUCUUCGGAUCGUAAAACUCUGUUAUUAGGGAAGAACAAAUGUGUAAGUAACUAUGCACGUCUUGACGGUACCUAAUCAGAAAGCCACGGCUAACUACGUG
rnacentral:rRNA from 1 species